rnacentral:rRNA from 1 species
GACGAACCGUGCGAACGUUGUUCGGAUUCACUGGGCUUAAAGGGCGCGUAGGCGGACGGUCAAGUCAGGGGUGAAAUCUUUCAGCUCAACUGGAAAAGUGCCUUUGAUACUGAUCGUCUCGAGGGUGGUAGGGGCAUGUGGAACUUCCGGUGGAGCGGUGAAAUGCGUAGAUAUCGGAAGGAACGCCGGUGGCGAAAGCGACGUGCUGGACCUCUUCUGACGCUGAGGCGCGAAAGCUAGGGGAGCAAACGGG